rnacentral:tRNA from 1 species
GUGGGGUUGUGGCUCAGUGGUAGAGCACUUGUCUAACAAGUAUGAGGUGCUGGGUUCAAUCUUCAGCACCACA